UGGGGAAUUUUUGGCAAUGGGCGCAAGCCUGACCAAGCAACGCCGCGUGGGUGAUGAAGUCUUUUGGGACGUAAAACCCUUUCAGCAGGGACGAAACUUUGACGGUACCUGCAGAAGAAGCCCCGGCUAACUCCGUGCCAGCAGCCGCGGUAAUACGGGGGGGGCAAGCGUUGUUCGGAAUUACUGGGCGUAAAGGGCGCGUAGGCGGUGGGACAAGUGGGUGGUGAAACCUCCCAGCUUAACUGGGAGCCGGCCAUCCAAACUGUCCCGCUGGAGUGUGGGAGGGGAAAGUGGAAUUCCCGGUGUAGCGGUGAAAUGCGUAGAGAUCGGGAGGAACACCGGUGGCGAAGGCGGCUUUCUGGACCACUACUGACGCUGAGGCGCGAAAGCCAGGGGAGCAAACAG
rnacentral:rRNA from 1 species